rnacentral:rRNA from 1 species
AUUGAACGCUGGCGGAAUGCUUUACACAUGCAAGUCGAACGGCAGCGCGGGGGCAACCCUGGCGGCGAGUGGCGAACGGGUGAGUAAUGUAUCGGAACGUAUCCUGUAAUGGGGGAUAACCAGUCGAAAGAUUGGGUAAUACCGCAUACGCACGAGAGUGGAAAGUAGGGGAUCGCAAGACCUUACGUUAUAGGAGCGGCCGAUAUCUGAUUAGCUAGUUGGUGGGGUAAAGGCCUACCAAGGCGACGAUCAGUAGCUGGUCUGAGAGGACGACCAGCCACACUGGAACUGAGACACGGUCCAGACUCCUACGGGAGGCAGCAGUGGGGAAUUUUGGACAAUGGGGGCAACCCUGAUCCAGCCAUGCCGCGUGAGUGAAGAAGGCCUUCGGGUUGUAAAGCUCUUUCGGCCGGGAAAAAUCGCAUCAGUUAAUACCUGGUGUGGAUGAUGGUACCGGAAUAAGAAGCACCGGCUAACUACGUGCCAGCAGCCGCGGUAAACAUACUACG